GAUGAUAGUUCUACUUUGCAUGAAAACGGGCACUGCAAAGAUCGUCUACUUACGACGUGCCCUUCUGAAGCGGCACCAUCUUUACUAGGUGCUUAAUCUCUUUACUGCAGAUAUAGUAAAGCUAGUACCUUCUUGUCCCAUACUUUGCUCAAAAGAUCGCGAAUUUGUUUGAUGGUUACAACUUGCAUUGUCAUAUAGCUAUAACUUUUGGAUUUUGUGUAAGCAGGGCAACACUUUUGCCGGUUUAACAUUGCGGAAGAGAAGUUGGGGAAAGG
rnacentral:lncRNA from 1 species